UACGAAGGGGGCUAGCGUUGCUCGGAAUCACUGGGCGUAAAGCGCACGUAGGCGGAUCUUUAAGUCAGGGGUGAAAUCCUGGAGCUCAACUCCAGAACUGCCUUUGAUACUGGGGAUCUCGAGUCCGGGAGAGGUGAGUGGAACUCCGAGUGUAGAGGUGAAAUUCGUAGAUAUUCGGAAGAACACCAGUGGCGAAGGCGGCUCACUGGCCCGGUACUGACGCUGAGGUGCGAAAGCGUGGGGAGCA
rnacentral:rRNA from 1 species